rnacentral:rRNA from 1 species
AACGAACGCUGGCGGCAGGCUUAACACAUGCAAGUCGAACGGCAGCAUGGACUUCGGUCUGGUGGCGAGUGGCGAACGGGUGAGUAAUACAUCGGAACGUACCCAGUAAUGGGGGAUAACUAUCCGAAAGGAUAGCUAAUACCGCAUACGCCCUACGGGGGAAAGAGGGGGAUCGCAAGACCUCUUGUUAUUGGAGCGGCCGAUGGCUGAUUAGCUAGUUGGUAGGGUAAAGGCCUACCAAGGCAACGAUCAGUAGCGGGUCUGAGAGGACGAUCCGCCACACUGGAACUGAGACACGGUCCAGACUCCUACGGGAGGCAGCAGUGGGGAAUCUUGGACAAUGGGCGCAAGCCUGAUCCAGCAAUGCCGCGUGCGUGAAGAAGGCCUUCGGGUUGUAAAGCGCUUUUGUCAGGGAGCAAAUCCUUGUGGCUAAUACCCACCGGGGAUGAGAGUACCUGAAGAAUAAGGACCGGCUAACUACGUGCCAGCCGCCGCAGUAAGAC